AGAGUUUGAUCCUGGCUCAGGAUGAACGCUAGCUACAGGCUUAACACAUGCAAGUCGAGGGGAAACGACAUCGAAAGCUUGCUUUUGAUGGGCGUCGACCGGCGCACGGGUGAGUAACGCGUAUCCAACCUGCCCAUCACUUGGGGAUAACCUUGCGAAAGUAAGACUAAUACCCAAUGAUAUCUCUAGAAGGCAUCUGAAAGAGAUUAAAGAUUUAUCGGUGAUGGAUGGGGAUGCGUCUGAUUAGCUUGUUGGCGGGGUAACGGCCNCCAAAGCAACGAUCAGUAGGGGUUCUGAGAGGAAGGUCCCCCAGAUUGGAACUGAGACACGGUCCAAACGUCUACGGAGGCA
rnacentral:rRNA from 1 species